rnacentral:rRNA from 1 species
GACGAACGCUGGCGGCAUGCUUAACACAUGCAAGUCGAACGGCAACGCCCUGCUUUUUUGGUGUUCUCGAGUGCCGAACGCGUGCGUAACACGUGAGUAACCUGCCCUUCUCUUUGGUAUAACUUCACGUAACUGGGGCUACUCCCGUAUCGGAGCUCCUGCUCCAUUGUGAGCGUUGGAUCUUUGCGGCGGUUGGGGAUGGACGCGCGGCUUAUCAGCUUGUUGGUUGGGGAGUGGCUUACCCAGGCUUUGACGGGUACCCGGCCUGAGAGGGUGACCGGGCACAAGGGGACUGAGAGAGGGCCCAGAGGCGUAUGGGAGGCAGAAGUGGGGAAUAUGGCACAACGGGCGGAAGCGGGAGGAAGAAACGCUGGGGGUGGGAUGACGGUCUGUGGGGUGUAAACAGCUGCCGCCUGUGACGAAGCGGGAGUGACGGUAAUGGGUAAAGAAGCACCGGCUAACUACGUG